GUGGCAGUAGCUCAGUGGUAGAGCUCCAGCUUCAUGCGCGGGAGGACCUGGGUUCGAUUACCGGCUGCUUUC
rnacentral:tRNA from 1 species